rnacentral:rRNA from 1 species
UCCUACGGGAGGCAGCAGUGGGGAAUAUUGGACAAUGGGGGCAACCCUGAUCCAGCCAUGCCGCGUGUGUGAAGAAGGCCCUCGGGUUGUAAAGCACUUUCAGCGAGGAAGAACGCCUAGCGGUUAAUACCCGCUAGGAAAGACAUCACUCGCAGAAGAAGCACCGGCUAACUCCGUGCCAGCAGCCGCGGUAAUACGGAGGGUGCAAGCGUUAAUCGGAAUUACUGGGCGUAAAGCGCGCGUAGGUGGCUUGAUAAGCCGGUUGUGAAAGCCCCGGGCUCAACCUGGGAACGGCAUCCGGAACUGUCAAGCUAGAGUGCAGGAGAGGAAGGUAGAAUUCCCGGUGUAGCGGUGAAAUGCGUAGUGAUCGGGAGGAAUACCAGUGGCGAAGGCGGCCUUCUGGACUGACACUGACACUGAGGUGCGAAAGCGUGGGUAGCAAACAGGAUUAGAUACCCUGGUAGUCCACGCCGUAAACGAUGUCGACCAGCCGUUGGGUGCCUAGCGCACUUUGUGGCGAAGUUAACGCGAUAAGUCGACCGCCUGGGGAGUACGGCCGCAUGGUUAAAACUCAAAUGAAUUGACGG